AGUGAACGCUGGCGGUAGGCCUAACACAUGCAAGUCGAACGGCAGCACAGUAAGAGCUUGCUCUUACGGGUGGCGAGUGGCGGACGGGUGAGGUAUACAUCGGAAUCUACUUUUUCGUGUGGGUUAACGUAGGGAAACUUACGCUAAUACCGCAUACGACCUACGGGUGAAAGCAUGGGAUCUUCGGACCUUGCGCGAUUGAAUGCGCCGAUGUUGGUGUUGCUAGUUGGCGGGGUAAAGGCCCACCAAGGCGGCGAUCCGUAGCUGGUCUGAGAGGAUGGUAAGCCACACUGGAGGUGGGACGGGGUACAGACUCCUACGGGAGGCAGCAGUGGGGAAUAGUGGACAAUGGGGGCGAGCCUGAUCCAGCCAUACCGCGUGGGUGAAGAAGGCCUUCGGGUUGUAAAGCCCUUUUGUUGGGAAAGAAAAGCAGCAGGUUAAUACCCCGCUGUUCUGACGGUACCCAAAGAAUAAGCACCGGCUAACUUCGUG
rnacentral:rRNA from 1 species